CACUUUUUUUCAUACAGCACCCUAAGUUCAUACAAAAGCAGUGUGAAACCUGAAAGACAGCUUUACACCAAACAAGGUAUAAUAUUUUUUUCACCGGAUGAAUGAUGUUUUUAUACAUUUAUAUUGUCCUCCUCUUAAAGAUGCCAGCAGCAGUUCUGGGAGUGAGUGUGGAUCAAGGUCCAAAGGCUGUGGCUAAAGCAGUGGGCAAAACCGUGUAUCUGCCCUGCAAAGCGACCGGUGUGGGCUCUUCAGAUUAUAUCCACUGGUACCAAAUAAAAGACGGCAAAGCCCCGUCAAGACUGCUCUAUAUCAGUAAAGAUGGCGGUGUCACUCGUGAUAGCAACAAUCCCCAAGCAAGCGAUUUCACAGUGGACAAAACAAAGCUUUAUGAUCUAAAACUGAGUGACAGUAAGAAGAGUCACAGUGCCGUUUACUUCUGCGCUUACUGGGAGUGGGUCUCAGGCAGCCACAGUGAGAACAUUUACUCACAUCCUGUACAUGAACUACACUGGUAAAUAAUUGAUGAAUGACAUAUUUAUAUACUUUAAUAUUUAUUUACCUGUCACUUUCUGUUUAAGUUCUCAAUUUGAAUUAAGCUGCAUAUGCACAGAAUAACUGGAUGAAGGUAUUUGGAUCUGUUCAGAUCUGAACUUUAUUGUCCUGCUGUUCAUUAUGAGGUUAUUUGAACACACUGUAUUAUUGUGAUUUUGGAAUAUGUCAGGUGUAUCUCAUAUUUGUUAUGCGUUGUGAAGAUAUAAAUAAAUUAUUUGGCAUUUACAGAUUUGUAGUUUUCAGUUUGAUUAAGUGCUCAAAUAUCACUUGUCCUUGUGUGUUGAAAAUAAAUUCAGGAUAUUCAGCAGAGUGCCAACUUUAUGUGCUUUUCACAUGUAUUUUAAGUCAUUUCUGAAGCUCACAGACAUUCCACAAAUAUACUGGAUUAAUUGAACUCUAGUUUAAUUGAACAAAUGCAUGAAUAUUGU